UGUAGCCUACGGGGGGCAGCAGUGGGGGAUAUUGCACAAUGGGGGGAACCCUGAUGCAGCGACGCCGCGUGGGUGAAGGAGUAUUUCGGUAUGUAAAGCCCUAUCGGCAGGGAAGAAGCAAGACGGUACCUGACUAAGAAGCCCCGGCUAACUACGUGCCCGCAGCCGCGGUAAUACGUAGGGGGCAAGCGUUAUCCGGAAUUACUGGGUGUAAAGGGGGAGUAGGCGGCAUGGUAAGCCAGAUGUGAAAGCCUUGGGCUUAACCCGAGGAUU
rnacentral:rRNA from 1 species